AGCGAACGCUGGCGGCAGGCUUAACACAUGCAAGUCGAGCGGACCUUUCGGGGUCAGCGGCGGACGGGUGAGUAACGCGUGGGAACGUGCCUUCCGGUUCGGAAUAACCCUGGGAAACUAGGGCUAAUACCGGAUACGCCCUUAUGGGGAAAGGUUUACUGCCGGAAGAUCGGCCCGCGUCUGAUUAGCUAGUUGGUGGGGUAACGGCCUACCAAGGCGACGAUCAGUAGCUGGUCUGAGAGGAUGAUCAGCCACACUGGGACUGAGACACGGCCCAGACUCCUACGGGAGGCAGCAGUGGGGAAUAUUGGACAAUGGGCGCAAGCCUGAUCCAGCCAUGCCGCGUGAGUGAUGAAGGCCUUAGGGUUGUAAAGCUCUUUUAUCCGGGACGAUAUUGACGGUACCGGAGGAAUAAGCCCCGGCUAACUUCGUG
rnacentral:rRNA from 1 species